UCCCUCAGCACUCUGGGAUGGAUCUCAUCAGGUCCCAUAGACUUAUGUAUGUUCAGGUUCCUCAAAUGGUCACAAACCUGAUCUUCUCCUACAGUGGGCUUAAGGUCUGCAUUUUCACAGUCCCUGC